AUGCUCACUUAAGCAGCACAUAAACUAAAAUUGAAAUGAUACAGAGAUUAACAUGGCUCCUGCUGCAAGGAUGGCACACAAGUUUGUAAUUGCAUAUUUUU
ensembl:snRNA U6 U6 spliceosomal RNA